rnacentral:rRNA from 1 species
UACGGGGGGAGCAAGCGUUGUUCGGAUUUACUGGGCGUAAAGGGCGCGUAGGCGGUCGUGACAAGUCACUUGUGAAAUCUCCGGGCUUAACUCGGAACGGUCAAGUGAUACUGUCGGACUAGAGUACAGAAGGGGCAACUGGAAUUCUCGGUGUAGCGGUGAAAUGCGUAGAUAUCGAGAGGAACACCUGCGGCGAAGGCGGGUUGCGUGGGCUGAUACUGACGCUGAGGCGCGAAAGCCAGGGGAGCAAACGGG